rnacentral:rRNA from 1 species
UACGUAGGGUGCUAGCGUUGUCCGGAUUUAUUGGGCGUAAAGGGCUCGUAGGCGGUGUGUCGCGUCGGGAGUGAAAGCCCGUUGCUUAACGGCGGGUUGGCUUUCGGUACGGGCAUGCUGGAGUGCGGCAGGGGAGACUGGAAUUCCUGGUGUAGCGGUGGAAUGCGCAGAUAUCAGGAGGAACACCGGUGGCGAAGGCGGGUCUCUGGGCCGUUACUGACGCUGAGGAGCGAAAGCGUGGGGAGCGAACAGG